AACGAACGCUGGCGGCAGGCUUAACACAUGCAAGUCGAACGCCCCGCAAGGGGAGUGGCAGACGGGUGAGUAACGCGUGGGAACAUACCCUUUUCUACGGAAUAGCUCUGGGAAACUGGAAUUAAUACCGUAUACGCCCUACGGGGGAAAGAUUUAUCGGGGAAGGAUUGGCCCGCGUUGGAUUAGCUAGUUGGUGGGGUAAAGGCCUACCAAGGCGACGAUCCAUAGCUGGUCUGAGAGGAUGAUCAGCCUCAUUGGGACUGAGACACGGCCCAAACUCCUACGGGAGGCAGCAGUGGGGAAUAUUGGACAAUGGGCGCAAGCCUGAUCCAGCCAUGCCGCGUGAGUGAUGAAGGCCUUAGGGUUGUAAAGCUCUUUCAGUAGGGAAGAUAAUGACGGUACCUACAGAAGAAGCCCCGGCUAACUUCGUGCCAGCCGCCGCAGUAACAC
rnacentral:rRNA from 1 species